UACGUAGGCAGCAAGCGUUGUUCGGAAUUACUGGGCGUAAAGAGUGUGUAGGCGGUGCUCUAAGUUUGGUGUGAAAUCUCCCGGCUCAACUGGGAGGGUGCAUCGAAAACUGGGGUGCUCGAGGGUGGGAGAGGUAAGCGGAAUUCCUGGUGUAGCGGUGAAAUGCGUAGAUAUCAGGAGGAACACCUGUGGUGUAGACAGCUUACUGGACCACUUCUGACGCUGAGACACGAAAGCGUGGGUAGCAAACAGG
rnacentral:rRNA from 1 species